rnacentral:rRNA from 1 species
AACGAACGCUGGCGGCAUGCCUAACACAUGCAAGUCGAACGAGACCUUCGGGUCUAGUGGCGCACGGGUGCGUAACGCGUGGGAACCUGCCCUUAGGUUCGGAAUAACUCAGAGAAAUUUGAGCUAAUACCGGAUAAUGUCUUCGGACCAAAGAUUUAUCGCCUUUGGGUGGGCCCGCGUAGGAUUAGCUUGUUGGUGGGGUAAUGGCCUACCAAGGCGACGAUCCUUAGCUGGUCUGAGAGGAUGAUCAGCCACACUGGGACUGAGACACGGCCCAGACUCCUACGGGAGGCAGCAGUGGGGAAUAUUGGACAAUGGGCGAAAGCCUGAUCCAGCAAUGCCGCGUGAGUGAUGAAGGCCUUAGGGUUGUAAAGCUCUUUUACCGGGGAUGAUAAUGACAGUACCUGGAGAAUAAGCUCCGGCUAACUCCGUG